rnacentral:rRNA from 1 species
GAGGCGAACGGGUGAGUAACACGUAUCCAAUCUACCUUAUAAUGGGGGAUAACUAGUUGAAAAACUAGCUAAUACCGCAUAAGAACUUUAGUUCGCAUGAAUUAAAGUUGAAAGGACCUGCAAGGGUUCGUUAUUUGAUGAGGGUGCGCCAUAUCAGCUAGUUGGUAGGGUAAUGGCCUACCAAGGCAAUGACGUGUAGCUAUGCUGAGAAGUAGAAUAGCCACAAUGGGACUGAGACACGGCCCAUACUCCUACGGGAGGCAGCAGUAGGGAAUUUUUCACAAUGAGCGAAAGCUUGAUGGAGCAAUGCCGCGUGAACGAUGAAGGUCUUUUUGAUUGUAAAGUUCUUUUAUUUGGGAAGAAUGACUCUAGCAGGCAAUGGCUGGAGUUUGACUGUACCACUUUGAAUAAGUGACGACUAACUAUGUGCCAGCAGUCGCGGUAAUACAUAGGUCGCAAGCGUUAUCCGGAUUUAUUGGGCGUAAAGCAAGCGCAGGCGGAUUGAAAAGUCUGGUGUUAAAGGCAGCUGCUUAACAGUUGUAUGCAUUGGAAACUAUCAGUCUAGAGUGUGGUAGGGAGUUUUGGAAUUUCAUGUGGAGCGGUGAAAUGCGUAGAUAUAUGAAGGAACACCAGUGGCGAAGGCGAAAACAAAGGCCAUUACUGACGCUUAGGCUUGAAAGUGUGGGGAGCAAAUAGGAUUAGAUACCCUAGUAGUCCACACCGUAAACGAUAGAUACUAGCUGUCGGAGCGAUCCCUUCGGUAGUGAAGUUAACACAUUAAGUAUCUCGCCUGGGUAGUACAUUCGCAAGAAUGAAACUCAAACGGAAUUGACGGGGACCCGCACAAGUGGUGGAGCAUGUUGCUUAAUUCGACGGUACACGAAAAACCUUACCUAGACUUGACAUCCUUGGCAAAGUUAUGGAAACAUAAUGGAGGUUAACCGAGUGACAGGUGGUGCAUGGUUGUCGUCAGCUCGUGUCGUGAGAUGUUGGGUUAAGUCCCGCAACGAGCGCAACCCUUAUCGUUAGUUACAUUGUUUAACGAGACUGCUAAUGUAAAUUGGAGGAAGGAAGGGAUGACGUCAAAUCAUCAUGCCCCUUAUGUCUAGGGCUGCAAACGUGCUACAAUGGCCAAUACAA